rnacentral:rRNA from 1 species
CCUACGGGAUGCAGCAGUGGGGAAUAUUGGGCAAUGGGCGGAAGCCUGACCCAGCAACGCCGCGUGAAGGAAUAAGGCCUUCGGGUUGUAAACUUCUUUUAUUAGGGACGAAGGAUGUGACGGUACCUAAUGAAUAAGCCACGGCUAACUACGUGCCAGCAGCCGCGGUAAUACGUAGGUGGCAAGCGUUGUCCGGAUUUACUGGGUGUAAAGGGCGCGUAGGCGGGAAUGCAAGUCAGAUGUGAAAUCCAUGGGCUCAACCCAUGAACUGCAUUUGAAACUGUGUUUCUUGAGUGAUGGAGAGGCAGGCGGAAUUCCUAGUGUAGCGGUGAAAUGCGUAGAUAUUAGGAGGAACACCAGUGGCGAAGGCGGCCUGCUGGACAUCAACUGACGCUGAUGCGCGAAAGCGCGGGGAGCAAACAGGAUUAGAUACCCUAGUA